GACGAACGCUGGCGGCGUGCUUAACACAUGCAAGUCGAACGGAAAGGCCCUGCUUUUGUGGGGUGCUCGAGUGGCGAACGGGUGAGUAACACGUGAGUAACCUGCCCUUGACUUUGGGAUAACUUCAGGAAACUGGGGCUAAUACCGGAUAGGAGCUCCUGCUGCAUGGUGGGGGUUGGAAAGUUUCGGCGGUUGGGGAUGGACUCGCGGCUUAUCAGCUUGUUGGUGGGGUAGUGGCUUACCAAGGCUUUGACGGGUAGCCGGCCUGAGAGGGUGACCGGCCACAUUGGGACUGAGAUACGGCCCAGACUCCUACGGGAGGCAGCAGUGGGGAAUAUUGCACAAUGGGCGGAAGCCUGAUGCAGCAACGCCGCGUGCGGGAUGACGGCCUUCGGGUUGUAAACCGCUUUCGCCUGUGACGAAGCGUGAGUGACGGUAAUGGGUAAAGAAGCACCGGCUGACUACGUG
rnacentral:rRNA from 1 species